ensembl:snRNA U6 U6 spliceosomal RNA
UUGCUUCGGCAGCACAUAUACUAAAAUCGGAACAAUACAGGGAAGAUUAGUGUACAAGGAUGACAUGCAAAUUUGUGAAGCAUUCCAUAUUUUC